UCUGUAGAUGGUCAAUAGUUGGUCUGUAGAUGGUCAAUAGAUGGUCUGUAGAUGGUCUGUAGAUGGUCUAUAGAUGGUCUAUAGAUGGUCUAUAGAUGGUCUGUAGAUGGUCAAUAGAUGGUCUGUAGAUGGUCAAUAGAUGGUCUGUAGAUGGUCUAUAGAUGGUCUAUAGAUGGUCAAUAGAUGAUCUAUAGAUGGUCUGUAGAUGGUCAAUAUUUGGUCUAUAGCUGGUCUAUAGAUGGUCUAUAGAUGGUCUGUAGCAAUAGAUGGUCUAUAGAUGGUCUAUAACUAUAAAUGGUCUGUAGAUGGUCUAUAACUAUAGAUGGUCUAUAGAUGGUCUAUAACUAUAAAUGGUCUAUAGAUGGUCUAUAGAUGGUCUAUGACUAUAGAUGGUCUAUAGAGGGUCUGUAGAUGGUCUAUAACUAUAGAUGGUCUAUAGAUGGUCUAUAACUAUAGAUGGUCUAUAACUAUAGAUGGUCUAUAGAGGGUCUGUAGAUGGUCUAUAACUACAGAUGGUCUAUAGAUGGUCUAUAACUAUAGAUGGUCUAUAGA